UAAUCACCUAGCAUAAAGGGAGGUAAUAACUUGAUAUAGGAUUUUAGUGUUACAUAAUCACCUAGCAUAAAGGGAGAUAAUAACUUGAUAUAGGACUUUAGAGUUACAUAACCACCUAUUAUAAAGGGAGAUAAUAACUUGAUAUAGGAUUUUAGUGUUACAUAACCACCUAUUAUAAAGGGAGGUAAUAACUUGAUAUAGGAUUUUAGUGUUACAUAAUCACCUAGCAUAAAGGGAGGUAAUAACUUGAUAUAGGAUUUUAGUGUUACAUAAUCACAUAUCAUAAAGGGAGGUAAAUCAAAUUGCUUUACCAUCAUUGAAUAUAUAAUAUAAUACUUAUAUCUUGUUUGUAAGAUCAGCAUAAUUUUAUGCAUGAUUUAACUAGGAGUAUAUUGGCAUAAUUACUUAGAAGAACAUCAAAUUUUACAUCCUGGGCUAUUAAGUAUAGAAAUAAAUUGAACAGAUAUUUCGGACUACUAGAAUAUUGCUUCCCAUAAUUUUUAUGUUAACAGAUAUAGUUAGAAAUUAGUUGAAUCAUCUUAAACAAAGACCACGUUUUUUAGAUUUCCUAUGAAAUGUCAAUUUUGUAUAUUCUAUUAACAUAUACAUUUUUAUGUAAAAACUAAGAUUGUAUUUUAUUUUGAGCCUUUUGCUUUUAAGACAAUUCCUGGAAGAUAUUCAAGUGAAUUGAUGCACAUUCUGUACUUUUAAAAUAGGGGUGUUAAUUGACCUUG